GAGAGAGAGAGGCAACAUCAUUGAAAGAGAAGAUAGUCCGAGUGAGUGUUUGAGAGAGAAUAACUGAAAACAUUUUGGCUGAAAGGGGAGGGACUGCCUAGUCCUUUUUCAAACAAGUUUGUGGAGAAACUUGGAGAAGCUCUUUGGCUGCUUGGAAAGAAGAGGCAAGGUGCUAUGCUAAGUGAGAGAGCAGCUUGGAGGCAGGGGUAGGGGUGUAAAACCGAAGGAGAAAGGGGAUAAAGGACAUUUUGAUCUAAAGGAAAUCAUGCGAAUGAAUGCUGCCUCAUCCAGUGUCAGAUUUCACAAAAUGAGAAACCAGUGCAAGAGCACUUCUACAGGGCUCAUCCAGCUGAGAAAGGAUGCCAGCUGCUAGCACAAUGACUGGUGGGAGGGCCCUGCUGCUCUGUACCAACACUGACAACUGUAUCUACCAAUCAGUCAACGGGCUCCAGUGCUGCGGCUUGAAGGUUGAGGCUCAGUUUGUGGUCCCCCAGCGGCCAGACGUGGUGUACGGGAACGGGACACCUCCAAGCGGCCCCUCUCUCCCUGGUUUCCUCUCUGGACGGGCCAGGCACCAUUGACACAAUGCUCGCUCACAAAAAACCACCUCGGACCCCGUACCACCAUGGAGAAUGGACUGGCGGCUGUAGCAAACUCAAUAAGACCCCGGCGGGUCUGAAGACCAGCGCCAGCAUCCGGACAAGAUCUCCCAAUGGGAGGGAAAGAAGGAGACCGCCCCUACCUCCUCUACCUCCCUGUAGUUGGAAGUGGUCCAUGCCCGCUGAACACAGCACAGAAGGAACCAGAGACUGUGCGAAAGAAAGGAGACCACCAAUACCUCAGAGGUCCACAGGUCCGACAGUAAGUGGUUGGCCAGCUGGGAUAGGCAGGACUCUGGGAAGGAGAAUCAGGAAAGCUGGGGGAUUACGGCCUAAGUCUCCUGAGGGCCUCACUACCGGGACAGAGAGGUGAUACUGGAUAGAGGACCCUCAGAGGCAGUAGUAAAUCCACUGAGACAGCCAAGGACAAGAAGUCUGUUUUGACUCACAUUAAGAAACUGGAGCAGGCCAUGAAAGAGGGUUCCACCAAGCCCUCCUUGGUGUUGCCUGGGAACUAUUUCUGCCCACCUUCCCAGGAGGAGCAGGAGGGGGCGGAGAGGAAGGGAACGA